UGCAGUCGAGCGGUAACAGGGGGUGCUUGCUUCCGCGUGACAAGCGCCGCGACGGGUGAGAAAUGCAUAUGAAACUGCGCCGUAGUGGGGGAUAGCCCGGGGAAACCCGGAUUAAUACCCCGUACACCCUUCGGGGGAAAGCAGGGGAUCUUCUGACCUUGCGCUAUUGGAUGUGACUAUGUCGGAUUAUCUAGUUGGUGGGGUAAAGGCCUACCACGGCGACAAUCCGUAGCUGGUCGUGAGGAUGAUCAGCCACAUCGGGACUGAGACACGGCCCGAACUCCUACGGGAGGCAGCAGUGGGGAAUAUUGGACAAUGGGGGCAACCCUGA
rnacentral:rRNA from 1 species